UACGUAGGGGGCUAGCGUUGUCCGGAAUCAUUGGGCGUAAAGAGCGCGUAGGCGGCCAGAUAAGUCCGGUGUGAAAGUCAAAGGCUCAACCUUUGAAUGCCGCUGGAAACUGUCUGGCUAGAGUCCGGUAGGGGAGUGUGGAAUUCCCGGUGUAGCGGUGAAAUGCGCAGAUAUCGGGAGGAACACCAGUAGCGAAGGCGGCACUCUGGGCCGGUACUGACGCUGAGGAGCGAAAGCGUGGGGAGCAAACAGG
rnacentral:rRNA from 1 species